GAGAAAGCUUAAUGUCACCCACCUUGCCAGCUGGUGGGAGGAUAAGACAAGAUAAUAGAUGGAUAGAUCCCGACAGAAAGAAUAAUGACCACAAAAAUAAAGCUUAGAGUGCAGUAGAGGCUGGACUCAGACCUUUGAUCUAUUCAUGACAAAGCAGGAAUCCUUCCAUUUGAAGAUGCUACCAUGAUGCCAACCUGACUUCCCUGGGCAGACGACUUCACCAAUGUGUCCUGGAAUCCCACCUCUCCAGAUUCCUGCCCCACUAGGGAAAGAUAGAAACAGGCUGGGGGUAUGAAUCAACCUGCCAAUGCCCAUGUCCAUCAGAGAAGCAAUUAUAGAAGCCAGACCUUCCACCUUUUGCAUUCCACAAAGAUUUUUGAUCCAUACUUCCAGAGGGACAGAGAAUAGGGAAACUUCCAAUGGAGGAGAAGGAGCAUGAACUCUGGUGGUGGGAAUUGUAUGGAAUUCUAUCCUUUUUAUCCCACAAUCUUGCAAUAAUUAUUAAAUCACUAAUAAUAUAAAUAAAUAAAUAAUGGACUGGUCAGGUUGAUUGUUUCCUUUUAAUA